ACCUCUACAGACUGCAUUACCCCAGCUCUCUUAUCUUCUGGCUUCUGGUUGGAUUUGCCAAUGCAGGCCCCAGCAGAAGACUGGAGGUGUGGAGGAAAGGAGUCUGACUGGUCCUGGGACCUUUAAGAAUUCAGCUUUGCCAAAGCACAAAGUUCAAGGUGAUUCUAACAUACAUCCAAAGUUGAAAACUGCUGCUAUAGAUGAAUGACUCCUGCUUUGUCUCAGGCUUACUCAAGAAAACUGCCCCAACUGUUGUCUUCUCCCUCCCCCAGCAUCAUCAAUGUUUCCCUCUACUGGCUCAUUCCCAUCAGCUCACAAACAUGCUGUUAAUUUCCCCACUUUAAAGAAACCUUUGCAACCCCAUUUCUCCCUCCAAC
rnacentral:lncRNA from 10 species